rnacentral:rRNA from 1 species
GCCUCUUGGACUGGGACAACUGUUGGAAACGACAGCUAAUACCGGAUAUUAUGAGAUUCUCGCAUGAGAAAUUUAUGAAAGCUAUAUGCGCCAAGAGAGAGCCUUGCGUUCCAUUAGCUAGUUGGUGGGGUAACGGCCCACCAAGGCGACGAUGGAUAGCCGGCCUGAGAGGGUGAACGGCCACAAGGGGACUGAGACACGGCCCUUACUCCUACGGGAGGCAGCAGUGGGGAAUAUUGGACAAUGGGCCACAAGCCUGAUCCAGCAAUUCUGUGUGCACGAUGAAGGUCUUCGGAUUGUAAAGUGCUUUCAGUUGGGAAGAAGAAAGUGACGGUACCAACAGAAGAAGCGACGGCUAAAUACGUGCCAGCAGCCGCGGUAAUACGUAUGUCGCAAGCGUUAUCCGGAUUUAUUGGGCGUAAAGCGCGUCUAGGCGGAAAAAUAAGUCUGAUGUUAAAAUGCGGGGCUCAACUCCGUAUUGCGUUGGAAACUGUUUUUCUAGAGUACUGGAGAGGUGGGCGGAACUACAAGUGUAGAGGUGAAAUUCGUAGAUAUUUGUAGGAAUGCCGAUGGAGAAGUCAGCUCACUGGACAGAUACUGACGCUGAAGCGCGAAAGCGUGGGGAGCAAACAGGAUUAGAUACCCUGGUAGUCCACGCCGUAAACGAUGAUCACU